rnacentral:rRNA from 1 species
AACCUCCGCAAUGUGAGAAAUCGCGACGGGGGGAUCCCAAGUGCCAUUCUUAACGGGAUGGCUUUUCAUUAGUGUAAAGAGCUUUUGGAAUAAGAGCUGGGCAAGACCGGUGCCAGCCGCCGCGGUAACACCGGCAGCUCUAGUGGUAACAAUUUUUAUUGGGCCUAAAGCGUCCGUAGCCGGUUUAAUAAGUCUCUGGUGAAAUCCUGCAGCUUAACUGUGGGAAUUGCUGGAGAUACUAUUAGACUUGAGACCGGGAGAGGUUAGAGGUACUCCCAGGGUAGAGGUGAAAUUCUGUAAUCCUGGGAGGACCGCCUGUUGCGAAGGCGUCUAACUGGAACGGUUCUGACGGUGAGGGACGAAAGUUAGGAGCGCGAACCGGAUUAGAUACCCGGGUAGUCCUAACUGUAACGAUGCGGACUUGGUGUUGGGGUGGCUUUGAGCUGCUCCAGUGCCGAAGGGAGCUGUUAAGUCCGCCGCCUGGGAAGUACGGUCACAAGACUGAAACUUAAAGGAAUU